rnacentral:rRNA from 1 species
UCGAGAAUUUUUCUCAAUGGGGGAAACCCUGAAGGAGCGACGCCGCGUGAAGGAUGAAGGUCUUCGGAUCGUAAACUUCUGUCAUUAGAGAACAAAGCCCCCGGUUAACUGCCGGUGGGUCUGAUAGUAUCUGAAGAGGAAGGGACGGCUAACUCUGUGCCAGCAGCCGCGGUAAUACAGAGGUCCCAAGCGUUGUUCGGAUUUAUUGGGCGUAAAGGGUGCGUAGGCGGUCGCCUAAGUCAGGUGUGAAAUCUCGGGGCUCAACCUCGAAACUGCACUUGAUACUGGGUGGCUAGAGUACUGGAGAGGAGACUGGAAUUUACGGUGUAGCAGUGAAAUGCGUAGAUAUCGUAAGGAAGACCAGUGGCGAAGGCGAGUCUCUGGACAGUUACUGACGCUGAGGCACGAAGGCCAGGGGAGCAAACG